rnacentral:rRNA from 1 species
ACCGUGGAGGGUCAUUGGAAACUGGAAAACUGGAGUGCAGAAGAGGAAAGUGAAAUUCCAUGUGUAGCGGUGAAAUGCGCAGAGAUAUGGAGGAACACCAGUGGCGAAGGCGACUUUCUGGUCUGUAACUGACGCUGAUGUGCGAAAGCGUGGGGAUCAAACAGGAUUAGAUACCCUGGUAGUCCACGCCGUAAACGAUGAGUGCUAAGUGUUAGGGGGUUUCCGCCCUUUAGUGCUGCAGCUAACGCAUUAAGCACUCCGCCUGGGGAGUACGACCGCAAGGUUGAAACUCAAAGGAAUUGACGGGGACCCGCACAAGCGGUGGAGCAUGUGGUCUAAUUCGAAGCAACGCGAAGAACCUUACCAAAUCUUGACAUCCUUUGACCGCUCUAGAGAUAGAGUCUUCCCCUUCGGGGGACAAAGUGACAGGUGGUGCAUGGUUGUCGUCAGCUCGUGUCGUGAGAUGUUGGGUUAAGUCCCGCAACGAGCGCAACCCUUAAGCUUAGUUGCCAUCAUUUAGUUGGGCACUCUAAGUUGACUGCCGGUGACAAACCGGAGGAAGGUGGGGAUGACGUCAAAUCAUCAUGCCCCUUAUGAUUUGGGCUACACACGUGCUACAAUGGACAAUACAAAGGGCAGCGAAACCGCGAGGUCAAGCAAAUCCCAUAAAGUUGUUCUCAGUUCGGAUUGUAGUCUGCAACUCGACUACAUGAAGCUGGAAUCGCUAGUAAUCGUAGAUCAGCAUGCUACGGUGAAUACGUUCCCGGGUCUUGUACACACCGCCCGUCACACCACGAGAGUUUGUAACACCCGAAGCCGGUGGAG